rnacentral:lncRNA from 1 species
GUUUUUGGGUUUUUCUUCUAUUUCUAUAUCUCUCCCUCUCGAUCAGAUCUAGACCCUCGUUCUCCAAAACGACCGGAGAAACUGCAUCUGCCAUGUUCUCGACAACCAUAGAAGCCCUUCGUUCCCGUGCAUCAUCUCUGUUAGCCUAUUGUGAACUGGUGUUUGGGGCACUGGUGAUACGCAAUAUGUGUUGAUGCUUAAGACUAAGUUUGAAAUAGAUGCUAAACAUAACUAUGAUCUGAAGCCCGCUUCUGAAUCAACCUCACUUUUCCGGUGUGGCACACGUGCAGAGAGACUUUAAGAGUUUUAUUCUGAUUUAGAAGAGAAGCAACAAGCACAAGAGGCGGAGAAAAUUAAAUUAAAUGUGAGUCGGUCUUCAUCUUCAAACCCUAGUCUGCCAGGUAACUCGUCGAUUUCACUAGCCAUCGUUCUAAUUUCACUACCUUUAAUUUCUAUGUACUUCGUUUUGUCUUCGUCGAUUUCACUAGCGAUCUUCGUUUUUUUUCGAUUUGCUAAUGGUUGUUUGUGAUUUCGAUUUGCUGAUGGUUGAAGUAACCAUCUUCGGUUCAUCCUCGUCGGACGUCGGUUUAUCGGUUCAUUCUCAUCUCUACUCACUUUUCUCUUUCAUUGGUUCAUCCUCUUUGAUUUGCUGGUAAGUUAUUAAUUUUUAGAUUUAGUUUAGUUACUAAUUUUCUGUUCACAUGAAUUUUUUGUAUGAAUUUAAAACAGAUUUAGUGUUUUGAUGUUUCAGUUUACUUACUGUAUCUAUUUUUGAACAUUUUACUGUAGCGUUUUAAUAUGGUUUGAUAUAAAUCACACUUUUAAAUUAUGUGUUAAACGAGUCUGGGUCAUGCCCAUGUCGUGUAACCUAUUAGUUAAACAUGUUCAUGUUCAUGUUUAGGUUAACGUCAUGUUUAAUUUAAUGGCCGUGUGCGUGAUUCGUAUCAGUGUCAUAUGUGCUUGCAGAGGUAUGCACUAUUACGGGGACCUCUAAGUUUAGUCAAUACACAUACACUGUUGUACAUGAUGUAAGUUUUGCCAAAAUUGAUCCCAAAUAGGGGUGUAAACAAGCUGAGUUGAGCUUGGGCUCAUUUCGACUUUAUCCUGGCUCUGAAUCAUGAAGCAAGAGAAGCGUUCUUGUCAACUUUAGUCUUGGACGGUUUGUAUUUCUUUAUUUCCUUCAUCGUGUUUGUUAGGGUCAGUAGCAGUAACAAUCUGAAUUAGAUAAUCACGUGUAGUCAUAUGGAUUGUAGUAUAUAGUUUUCAGCUGUUUAAAGUUGUAACAAUCAUCUUAUAUGUGUAUUUGGCUAAUCUGAUUAAAAAUGGUUAAUAUUUGAUUUUAAUUAUGCUUGAGUUUUGUAGCAGCUGUAUGAAAGUGAUUAUUUGACUUUUUAACAAUCAUAAGCAGAAUCCAUUAUCCAAACACAAAAGGAAAAAAUGAUCGUGAGAUUAUCAAUUGAUUAUCAAUUCCAAACGCAAAUACAAACACGUUGAUACUUGGCUUUUUCAAAUUUUUAAUUUUUUUUAUAUGAACAGGACAUGUAGAAUGGAUGGACAAGAGUCAUAGGCAAUGUCUGAUCCCUGGCAUCGAAUAAAAGAUUGGGCAGACAUUAUAUUACACUUUUUCUUGAUUAGGCCAAGGAGAAUGGCUUAGAGGACAACGUGAUGACCGUUGAGGAGAUUCGUACAGGAAUUGAAUCACGGGGAACAGUGAUUGGUACAAACAAUUUAAGAGUUUUGUUAAGCGUUCAUGAGUAUCCAACUACAGAGACAAGAGAACACACUCCCUGAAAUUUGUUGUUAACAAAGCCACUUACAUAGUUGCUGAAACUGUCGCAACAAGUUCGUCCAGCCCUACUCCCGCAGUUAAGUUAUCCCACCCAACAACACCAGCCCAAAAAGGAAACAUGGAAACCUCAGCAAAGAGGCACUUGCAGAUUCAGAGUCUCAAUCGAAAAGACCAGCUAAAAGCGGAAUGGCAGACUAAAACUUAAAUCGGGGAAGACGUCCCGUUUGUCCACCUAAAAGAAGAAACAACGGUGGGAUAGCAGUCCAGAACCAGAAUUGCUAAAGUCAUUUCUUUUGAACUAAUCAUACUUAAAACUCAACACAUCUACGACUGCCUAAUGACUAGAAGUUGUAUGCCUAGACAAUGCUUGCAGUUGUACUUGAAUGACUCUAACUUGUAAUGUCGCGCAACGCGCGACAUUAAAUACCCCUAGUUAGUUUAAUUAAGAAUCUUAAUUUGUUCACGUAUGUUUCCGUAUUGCUUUGGUAUUUGUUUGUACAUAUUGAAUAUUUUUAUCUACAUAUAGUGUGGUUAAU